UCAGAGUUUGACCGGCUCAGGACGAACGCUGGCGGCGCGCCUAACACAUGCAAGUCGAACGAGCGAGAGAGAGCUUGCUUUCUCGAGCGAGUGGCGAACGGGUGAGUAACGCGUGAGGAACCUGCCUCAAAGAGGGGGACAACAGUUGGAAACGACUGCUAAUACCGCAUAAGCCCACGGUGCCGCAUGGCACAGAGGGAAAAGGAGUAAUCCGCUUUGAGAUGGCCUCGCGUCCGAUUAGCUAGUUGG
rnacentral:rRNA from 1 species